rnacentral:tRNA from 1 species
CAGAUUAUAGUUUAAUUAAAACCCUAGCUUUGGGAGCUAAUAACCGGCUUUGCCGUAAUCUGA